rnacentral:lncRNA from 1 species
ACCAAAAAACGGCUGUGGAAACUUUACGCCUUCCAUAGAGACGUUCGUGUGGUCUCAAACCCCGACGUCAAACCGUUGGUCGAAGUGUUGCUCUUCGCACCCUACGCCUCGACGCGUACAGUGGUCAGAGCUUCACUACUCCCUCGACCUCCACAGCACACUAGCUUCCGAGCUCUGUGCGAUCCUAGCCGCUCUGCUGCCACUCACGGCAAUGGACCACUAAAAAGCCGCCGGUUGGAACUUUACGUUUUCCAUGGGGACGUUUGCGCGGUCUACGAACCUCAACGUCGGACCGUUGGUUGUAAAGCCCGGCAUAAACCAAACCCAAGUGCUGCUCUUGGCACCCCACGCCUUGAUGCGUAUAGCGGUCGGAGCUUCACUAUCCCCUCGACCUCCAUUGCACGCCGCACAGUUAGCUCUCGGGCUCUGUGUGAUCCAAGCCGCUCUGCCACCACUCACGGUUGUCGGAGUAACACUUCCGCCCCACUAAACCUGCACCCACCUCCUAUUCUUCUAGCCGAUAUGUUGUCUAUCGACACGGCUAGAAAUGAUACCAAACCUAGUCGUCAUGAUGUCCAACUCUAG